rnacentral:ribozyme from 1 species
UGCCCAGCAACUCCUAUCCCUACCUCCACGCGGUACCGGCCGGAAACUAUGAGCAACCUUAGGGAAGAUCGGGUAACCAACCCCGGUGGGAGCUUUGGUCGUAGGCUGACAGGGAAUG